GACACUUUGGCCGAGUGGUUUAAGGCGCAGGCCUGCUAAGCCUGUGGGUUCGCCCGCCUGGGUUCGAGUCCCAGAGGUGUCG